CAGCGUCAAACGAAGAUCUUGAAUAGCUUGCUAAUUAAGAUCUUAGUGGCGGACGGGUUAGUAACACGUGAGAACCUACCCUUUAGACAGGAAUAGUCCCGGGAAACUGGGUUUAAUGCCUGAUAGUCUCUAUGGAGUAAAUGGUGCCUUCGGGUAUCGCUAAAGGAUGGGCUCGCGGCCUAUCAGUUUGUUGGUGAGGUAAAGGCUCACCAAGACUACGACGGGUAGCUGGUCUGAGAGGACGAUCAGCAACACUGGAACUGAGACACGGUCCAGACACCUACGGGUGGCAGCAGUCGAGAAUCAUUCACAAUGGAGGCAACUCUGAUGGUGCAACGCCGCGUGGAGGAUGACGGUCCUAGGAUUGUAAACUCCUGUCAUUGGGGAGUAAGACUUAUUAGUUAAUAGCUGGUAAGUUUGAUAGUACCCAAAGAGGAAGGGACGGCUAACUUCGUGCCAGCAGCCGCGGUAAUACGAAGGUCCCAAGCGUUGUUCGGAAUCACUGGGCGUAAAGCGUGUGUAGGCUGCGCGGAAAGUCAAAUGUGAAAGCCCGGGGCUCAACCUCGGAACUGCAUUCGAUACUCCCGUGCUAGAGUAAUGGAGAGGUAAGUGGAAUUCCUGGUGUAGCAGUGAAAUGCGUGGAUAUCAGGAGGAACAUCAAUGGCGAAGGCAACUUACUGGACAUUUACUGACGCUCAGACACGAAGGCUAGGGUAGCGAAAGGGAUUAGAUACCCCUGUAGUCCUAGCAGUAAACGGUGCUCGCUUGGUGUGGGAGGAUUCGACCCCUUCUGUGCCGGAGCUAACGCGUUAAGCGAGCCGCCUGGGAAGUACGGUCGCAAGACUAAAACUCAAAGAAAUUGACGGGGACCCGCACAAGCGGUGGAGUAUGUGGUUUAAUUCGAUGCAAC
rnacentral:rRNA from 1 species